rnacentral:lncRNA from 1 species
AAUCGCCACUUCACACAAUACAUAAAUAAAUCAUACAUCAAUCAGAGUACACACAUUGACCGACUACGGUCAAAGUCAAAAGAAAGAAGAUAACCCAACUGCUAGAUCCCUGAUCGUCCCAACUGGGCUCCACUACUGAACAACAUGAUAAGAAACAACACAACGAACAAGAUCUUCAUCGAGCUCCCACUUGAGCUCGGUUGCGUCACCUGCACUGGUAUCCUCGGCACCUACAACUGUUUUGGUAGAAUCUGUGAGUCACGAGGACUCAGCAAUCUCAUACCCGCGAGAUCAAGACUAUUUAAGCUUAUAGGAAAGGAUGGGGUAAUGAGAUGGAGCUGCAGCAAGCACUAAGCAUAUAAGGUGGCUAACAUACGCAAAUGAGAGCGAGAAGAGAAGAAACGGAACGGUCGUCAACUAGUAAUGAUCAAGAAGUGAUCCUGAACUCCUACUUACGUCAGGCAUAACCCCGAAACCGUGUUCACUUCCCGGACUCCGCCGAAAAGAGACCAUCACGGCUACACACGUGGUUGAUGCGUUUUAAUUAGGGUCAAGUGUCAAGUUCUCUACAACCGGAUAUUAACAAAUUCCCAUCUGCCACAUAACCGCGGGCACGGCUUUCGAAAGAUAAUACCCUGCAGGGGUGUCCCAACUUAGCCCAUUAUAAGCUCUCACGGUCAACGAAGGAUAAAUCUUCUCCCAGGAAGACCCGAUCAGACUCAGAAUCCCGGUUUACAAAACAUUUCGACAAUGGUAAAACAAGACCAGCAAGACCACCCGCUGUGCCGACAAAUCCCGAUAGGAGUUGCACAUAUCUCGUUCUCAGGGCACACCGGAUGAGCAAGACGUCGGGUUGGCAUAGAUCCUGGUUGCCUAGGGGGCGCCGGACAUCGCUCGGUUUGGACCAGCACUCGAAGGAGAACUGGCCCGGGGGUUUAAAAUAAAGAUGACCCUUGAGUCUGCAGAACCCAAGGGAAAAAGGCUUAGGUAGGCAAAUGGUAAAACCAAGGUUGGGCCUUGCUGGAGGAGUUUUAUUCAAAGCGAACUCACAAGGGGGUCCCAUAAAUCACCCAACCGCGUAAGGAACGCAAAAUCAAGGAACAUAACACCGGUAUGACGGAAAACUAGGGAGGCAAGAGUGGAACAAAACACCAGGCAUAAGGCCGAGCCUUCCACCCUUUACCAAGUAUAUAGAUGCAUUAAUUAAAUAAGAGAUAUUGUGAUAUCCCAACAUAAUCAUGUUCCAACAUGGAGCAAUCUUCAACUUCACCUGCAACUAACAACGCUAUAAGAGGGGCUGAGCAAAAGCGGUAACAUAGCCAAACAACGGUUUGCUAGGAAAGGAUGGUUAGAGGCUUGACAUGGCAAUAUGGGAGGCAUGAUAUAGCAAGUGGUAGGUAGCGCAGCAUAGCAAUAGAGCGAACAACUAGCAAAGCAAAGAUAGAAGUGAUUUCGAGGGUAUGGUCAUCUUGCCUGAGAUCCCGCUAGGAAGAAGAACGAGUCCAUGAAGAAGACAAACGGAGGAAGUCGAACGAAUCCUCACAACUCCAGAACGAAACUGAAGCUAACGAGAGAAGCAACCCGGAAAGAAACAAACAACAUAGUAAACAACCACCACAUACACAUGGCAUGAUGCACAAACAAGUAUGAUGCAUGUCCGAUUUAAAGAGCAUGGCAUGGCAAAGUGCAACAAACAACACUACAAAUUAAGUGGAGCUCAAUAUGUAACGAGUUGCAUAUUGACGAAACACCACAUCAAUUAUUUAGUUCUCUCUCGGUUAUGUACCCAACAAUAUUAAAUGUUGAUUAACAUGGCAAGAGGUGAAGCAUAAGUAAACUACCUAUUUAAGCAAGUUAAAUGAGGCCGGAAAUAAUAAACAACAAUUCCAGAAAAUCCCCAUAUCCAUAUUUUAGAUUUGGUACUGUUCUGCCAUAAACGCAAUUUUAAUGUUGUUAAACAGCAAAAUAAAGUGCAGCAAGUUAAUCUAUGCAUUUUUCUACCCCAUUUACAUAUGAAGUUUAUUAAAAUCCGAGUUACGGUUAUUUAGUUAUGAAAUAAAUCAUUUUAACAUGGCAAUCGAGCAAAUUUAAACAAACAACAUUUUAAAUAUUUUAAACAAGGAUGAAAGUUGCAUACUGUUAAAGAACAUGAAAAUAUGAACAAAAUGCAUAUAUGACAUGUUUCAUUUGAAUGCAUGGACCUUUAGUUAUCAACAAUGCAAAACCAGUGGCAUUUCUGCAAAUAUGCAUGCACUUGGAAUUAGACAAAUCGGAGUGAACAUAAAAAAACGAUGCGGGCCGAAUGCUGCGCACUGUGGAAGCCCAGCAGCAGAUCUGGCCCGAAGCGGCUGAGUGUCUGUGAGCAAAAAAAAUAAAAGGAAGCAGUGCAGAAAAUAGGGGCUCCUGGGAUUCGAACCCCAGACCUCCUGGAUGCAGGAGCGUGGUGCGAACCACUGCGCUGCCGUGGCUGAAGUUGAUAGGAAAGGGCGCGGCCCCUUAAGAGAUUGCCCAGGGCCGAGCCUCUCUGUAUAGGCAGAGAAGACGAUGGCUGCGAGGACGGAGCCGGCGAGGUUAGCCGUGGUGAUGACGGGGCUUCUAGGUGCAGGGGCGUGUGCGUGUGCGGGGUGAGGCCAGCGGAGGGGCGCGCUAGGCGAGAACCGGAGCACGGAGAUGCUACUGCAUCUACGCGAGCAACAGAGAACUACAGGCGCCAACCAUGAACGGCGGCCUAGUGGUGAUGAUGCAUGAGGAUAUGCAUGUGAUGUUUGCCGUGUUCUGGAGUUGCACGCGCAGGUGAAAGGACGGGGCAGCCGUGUGCAACUGUGUGUGUGCGCGCUAGGCAGGCUAGGAAAAGGGCGCGGGCGCUCGACUUGGGGCACGACAAGCAGCGGCGAUGGCAACAGGGCACGGUGAGCCGGCGGCAAAGCUGCGGAAGAAGGCGCGAGGCCAGUGGGAUGUCUACGGAGCCAACUGGGCUUCGGGAUGCACGGGAUGCAGAGAGCGUGCUGCUGGAUCCUGAGAAAAAUUCAGAAAACACCGGAGCGGCGAGAGCGCGACGCGAAACCUAUCCUAGGCACGUCUACGGCGAUCGAUGUGCGGCAGGAGGAGAGAGAGGGGGAGCAGGUAUACCUAGCUCACCCUAGGACACGGAUGCAUCGACGUAGAUGAGCCAUCGGCGACGCGGACGAGCUCUAAACCCGACGCGGCUCCUGUCCGAGGAAGAAGAAAGCAGAGGAAGAUGCCAGGCGCGGGACUUGGCGACUCCUUAUGUGACGCAGAUGUAGCAGCGGGCGAAGAGGACAUCGACGGACUUGCCGGACACGAACGGCGAGGAAGAAGAUGAAGGAGUUCACGGCGGCGACAUGGCUGGUCCUUCGGUGCACUCGGGAUGCGUUGGGGGCGAUGGAUCAGAUGGAUUGGCGUGGCUUACCGGGUGGCGGCGGAGAUGGGGGAAAGAGGGGGAUCGGGGGAACCCUAGGGGGGUAGGGGCGAAUUUAUAGGAGGGUCAGGAGGCGUCCAGGAGUCAUGGUGAAACCACGGUGGCCAUGUGCGCUCUUCACUGAGAGUUACUGUGAGAGAGAGGGUGCGUGAGGUGGAAGAAAAAGGUGAGGGGGAGAGGAUGACAGGUGGGUCCAGCCCGGUGCAUGUGGGAAAAAAUAACCAGGGAAGAGAAGAGUUGGGCUGGAUCAGCUGGGAGGAACAUAGUUAAGUGGGCUCGCUCCUCUUAACUGAAAGCCCCUUCUUUUCCUUAUUUCCUCAACCAGAACUUUAGAGAAAAGAAGGAGGUGCUAGAGGUGGAAUAUUUCAGAAAAGAAAAUAUCUCUGAAGUCUUGAUAAUAUGCACAAUUUGAAUAAAUUGGUUUGGCAAUUUUUAGAGGAAGAAAAAUAAUUCAAGUUUGAAUUGAAUUCAAACUUGAGCCAUUUUUUAACCCAACCAAAACAAUCCCAAAAUGGAUGAAAUUUGGCAGAGUGGUUAAAGACAUGGUGAGAAUUUAUAGGAAAAGAGUGAACAUUAUAUGGAAUAGAAAUAAUGCCACCUGAAUAAAUCGGUGAGAAUUGAAAGGACGGAGCUAGAGAUGGGGUGAUGCACUGUGCAAAGAGACUCCGGUUUAGGCGAGAGGGACAACGAAGCACAAGGUUGGUCUCGGAACGGUCAACGAAAGCAAGGGGGACACGACAACUACGAGCGGACGCAAUUUUUAUGAAAACAUGUAAAUGCAAAGCGCAUGAUGCUAUGAGAUGAGAUGCAACAAACAAAUAAAUAACACAGCUGACUCGCAAAACAAGGAAGGCAACUAGAGCAUCGGUCUCGGGGCGUUACAACACUCCACCACUACAAGAGGAUCUCGUCCCGAGAUCUAGGAUGGCACCGGAGAGAAGCAGAAGAGGAAGAGGUAAAACAAAGUUGCUUCUUUGACAAACGAGUGAAACCAAAGAACCUUGAGAAGUCGCAAAGCUUGAAGAAAUGUCACGACGGAGCUGAACAAAAUUUAAAACACUCCGUUAUUAAAGAGGAACAAGGAACAUUGCGAGAACCUUAGUAGGUUGAAGGACAUGAAACAAGAGCUUAACGGAUCAAAAUUAAUAUGAAACACACCGGUAGAAAAGAGAAACAAGGAACACCAUGUGAACUUUGGAGUUAAGUGACGCGAUAGAUAUUUAAACCACUCCGGUUAAAAUAAGAUAGGGAAGGAAUAAGAAUGAUAAAAUUUGGGCAGCACUCCGACUGAAAAUGGAAGGAAUUGAACAUGAUCUCGACAAGAUGAGAGGAUACUCUAUGAAUUUAACAACAUAUUGCCUCCGGAACUAAAGAAAGAAUGGCACAAGGUGUAAGAAAGAUUUCAGACAGCACUCCGGUUGAGAAGGGAGGCAAAAACUUGACAGAAUGGAAAGAACUUGAAAAGAGGGCACGACACUCUAGUUGGAAUGGAAAAGCACGAAAAGAACACGGUCCUCACAAAUCGAGAAGAUGAGUGAAGAGAGCAACAUCACCAUGUCUCCGGAAGAAAUAAAUAAUAGAAGAUAGAUCCUUGGAAUAAAGAAUGGAGAAUAAAAUGCCAACUUCUGCCACAAAUUAUCUUGGAAAGCACCCUUCCAAGAAGGUAAGAACGGAGUAGUUGGAAAACCAACAACGAAAAGAAAAAACUUGUAGUGGGCUUAUGUAAACAUCUCAACAUUAUGAGGUGACAAACGGCCACUAAAGGAAGCCAUUGGUUUGAGUGAGAGCACCAAGGCGAUGAAAAACAUCUUUCACCCAGAGGAUAGGAGAAAACUUGGAUCAUUGAUAAGCACCAUAAUAGCAACAUUCCUUAGGGAAGGCUUUAGGUGAAACACGACACAAGAUAAAUCCAACGAAGAGAUUAUUAUGAGUUGAAACAACUCAUGGAUGAAGAAAAUAAGAUGGGUUUAAAUAUCUCAUUCUUGACAACUUGUGAAUCAUGAAACAUGAAGAAAAUAGUCAAGAGUGACAUAACACCACCUCAAAAGAUCAGGUAGGAAGAAUUGCACUACGGAAUGCAAGAAUGCUUGAGCUCCAACAAGAAUCUUGAAGAACACUUCGAGAAUGAAUUAAAUCCUUGAUGAACCACCCUGUAUAGCCUCCAUGAAGAACUCCGGUAAUAAAAGAAUGAUCAAACGAAAGGGAAAGUUGAAAAGAACUCUGGGAGAAGCCUUGCAAUGAUUAGAUGAAGCUUUGAAAUGAUAUAAUUGAAAUAACUUGGAGCUCCGGAAAGGAAAAUGAGCAAAUGAGAUCAAGAAUUUUUAUGAAUCUCCGGAAUAAGGAAUUAAAUCACUUGGAUGAAACAAGAAUAAGAAUUACAUUAUGCUUAGCCUUCACCAAUUAAAUUGAUGACAAGCAAUGGAUUUAGCAUACUACUUAUGCUCAUAGAAAGGAUUAAGAUAGAUAUUGCGCAAACUUGGGAAGGUCUUCAACGAACCACUGGUAACAACGGAAGAGAAUUCUUGAAUGAACCACCGUAAGAAUUGAAAAUGAAAGUAGCAAAGGCACAAUUCGCCGGGAAGAAUUAGAAAACGAAUAAAGAUACUUGACAGAAUUUAGAUACAUGAGAACGAAGAGAUCGUGAACUCAUUAGAGGAUAUUUGAACGAUGCACCGGAAGAAUAUGGAGAUGACCAAAGAGACAUCAAUUUAGAAUAAUUGAAGAACGAAGCUGAAAACUUAGAACGAAGAAAUCUUAUGGAAUGAUGGCCUUUGGAUGAUCAAGAAAUGAAACAACUCAUGAAAUGCUCCGGAUGGGUAAGAAAAGAAUUCUCACAAUCGAAAACAAUUAUGAGAGGAUGGCAUAAGCUAGAACUAUGAAUCUUCAAGAGAACGGACCAAGAUUUAGGAGAAAUUCUUCUUCGGUCUUCAAAUGUUGAGAAUGACGACGAGAAACACCACCAUGAAUUGUUGAGAUACUCCGGGAUGAAAAUUAGAAAGAUUGAACCAACAAUGAAAAGAGUUUGAAAGAUCUUGGAGAAAGACAUUUGACUGAUGAUAAUUCAUUCUUACAUCAAACUUUGCAAUGAAUUUAAGAAUAACUCCGGAAAAAUUAGAAGAGUCAGGUAAGAUCCUGGAAAAGACCUGUGGGUUAGGCCCACUCAAAGAUACACCGUUGAAUGAUUUAAAAAAAGAGAUUGCGCCAGUUGAAUUAAAUGGCUUGAAUGAGAUAACAACCUCGAAAUAGCUUGAACGGAUCUUGAAUGAAAACACGAAUCUCCUGAGAUAACUUCAACACUCCAGAUAAACAUGAAUAGCAAGAGGUGGAUGAUUAAGAGGUGCACCGGCAUGAGAAAACAUUUGAAACAAGGAAAGGAAUGUGAUUAACACUGAAAACUUGAAUUGAAUCCACUGAAAAAGAAUACGAGAAUGAAGAAUGAUAAUCUUGAAGAACAUCUUCAUGAGAACCACUGGGUAAGAACAUUGAUUAAAAAGAAUGAAGGGACUUCACAUGAAUAAAAUGGAUACUUGGUUAAGACAUAUGAUUCCUUGAAGAAAAGGGUGGGAGGGCGGGAAAAACAAAGGCACCUUGGGACGGAUGAAACAAACACCGUUGAGAAAACUUAGAGUUGAACUUGCGGAUGUUGAAAAGAUCAGAUCCACUUGAAGAGAAGCACGCCGGUUGGAAAAGAAUUAACAUGACGACCUCGAGAUCAAGAAGGAUUAGUAUCCAUAUAGAAAUAUGAGAACACCGUUUAGGAAAGGUAUGGAUUUAACAUUUGACUUCGAAGCAACUCGAAUACCACAACUUAAAACAAAACAAAGGAUUUGGCUUGCGGAAUAAGCCGAAACAAACAUAUGAUAGAGAUUCCGUCCGAAGUUUUCAUGGUGGGGCCCACACGGGCUCGACCGUACAGCACCAUCAUGUACAAGGUAGUGCACAUGACAUACGAAGCGUCCCCGAGUCGGCAUAGCCAAGGACUCUUUAAGACACUACGAGACCACUGUAAAACCAACCGUGGAAAGGCGGACCACUAGACGUCGAACCCCAAUCUCAUCAUGCGUCUGUCGGAAAAAUAUCCUAGGAGCUACUUGAAUUCCCACUUAUAAACUCCCGAAACUUUCUGGUUAUGCAAUCUGGUGUUGGGGAUACAGGGGACACAAAAUAUAUCACCCAAACUAACAAUACCUAGAUCCUGCUGUAUCCAUCCUUCAACACAUAACCAAGAAACCUUCGGAAAUCAUUUACCUCAACCUUCGAAAAGCAUCCGUUAUACGAGUUAUGGCAAUACUCCCGAACUCCCGCCCCAGUACUGGGUGGCGUCGAGGUGAUCUCACCAACAAUUGCAUAAAAGAGAUUUCGAUGUCGGCGAAACUCAGGUAUUCCAGAACUACAACGAUAAAAUUGUGACGACAACACCUCCGAGCUCAACUCCCCGGGACACUGCCACAACCCCUAAAUGUCAGGAGGCACCAAGAACAAUGUUCCCGUCACAAAACCAUCGGAACGAUUCCAAGAUACCCGCGUGAUCCUAAAAAAAUUAGUGAAAUUUGAGGAGAGAAGAGUCAAAACUUCUACGUCAGGAGACCUCACCAAGGCGAUGAAGGGACUGAGGAGUAAAAAGAAUCCUAACACUCUGAUAUAUAUAAUCCUAGACUCAAAACAUUUUCGUUCUACACUUAACAACGCCAGCGAUUCGAUCAAGCAGGGGCUCCUAAGUCGGGGAUGGCUCUGAUUACCAACUUGUAACGCCCACAAUGCGUCUAUAUGUCCCACGUGUCGAGGCACGACUUAGAGGCAUAACCGCAUUGUGGUUUUGUCGCAAGAAGGGUCAUCUUCACACAAUCCCAUGUAAUGAACAAGAAUGGGAUAAAGAGUUGGCUUACAAUCGCCACUUCACACAAUACAUAAAAAAUCAUACAUCAAUCAGAGUACACACAUAGACCGACCAUGGUCAAAGUCAAAAGAAACAAGAUAACCCAACUGCUAGAUCCCUGAUCGCCCCAACUGGGCUCCACUACUGAGCAACAUGAUAAGAAACAACACAAUGAACAAGAUCUUCAUCGAGCUCCCACUUGAGCUCGGUUGCGUCACCUGGACUGGUAUCCUCGGCACCUGCAACUGUUUUGGUAGAAUCUGUGAGUCACGAGGACUCAGCAAUCUCAUACCCGCGAGAUCAAGACUAUUUAAGCUUAUAGGAAAGGAUGGGGUAAUGAGGUGGAGCUGCAGCAAGCACUAAGCAUAUAAGGUGGCUAACAUACGCAAAUGAGAGCGAGAAGAGAAGCAACGGAACGGUCGUCAACUAGUAAUGAUCAAGAAGUGAUCCUGAACUCCUACUUACGUCAGGCAUAACCCCGAAACCGUGUUCACUUCCCGGACUCCGCCGAAAAGAGACCAUCACGGCUACACACGCGGUUGAUGCGUUUUAAUUAGGGUCAAGUGUCAAGUUCUCUACAACCGGAUAUUAACAAAUUCCCAUCUGCCACAUAACCGCGGGCACGGCUUUCGAAAGAUAAUACCCUGCAGGGGUGUCCCAACUUAGCCCAUUAUAAGCUCUCACGGUCAACGAAGGAUAAACCUUCUCCCAGGAAGACCCGAUCAGACAUGGAAUCCCGGUUUACAAAACAUUUCGACAAUGGUAAAACAAGACCAGCAAGACCACCCGCUGUGCCGACAAAUCCCGAUAGGAGCUGCACAUAUCUCAUUCUCAGGGCACACCGGAUGAGCAAGACGUCGGGUAGGCAUAGACCCUGGUUGCCCAGGGGGCGCCGGACAACGCUCAGUUUGGACCAGCACUCAAAGGAGAACUGGCCCGAGGGUUUAAAAUAAAGAUGACCCUUCAGUCUGCAGAACCCAAGGGAAAAAGGCUUAGGUAGGCAAAUGGUAAAACCAAGGUUGGGCCUUGCUGGAGGAGUUUUAUUCAAAGCAAACUGUCAAGGGGGUCCCAUAAAUCACCCAACCGCGUAAGGAACGCAAAAUCAAGGAACAUAACACCGGUAUGACGGAAAACUAGGGAGGCAAGAGUGGAACAAAACACCAGGCAUAAGGCCGAGCCUUCCACCCUUUACCAAGUAUAUAGAUGCAUUAAUUAAAUAAGAGAUAUUGUGAUAUCCCAACAUAAUCAUGUUCCAACAUGGAGCAAUCUUCAACUUCACCUGCAACUAACAACGCUAUAAGAGGGGCUGAGCAAAAGCGGUAACAUAGCCAAACAACGGUUUGCUAGGAAAGGAUGGUUAGAGGCUUGACAUGGCAAUAUGGGAGGCAUGAUAUGGCAGCAUAGCAAUAGAGCGAACAACUAGCAAAGAAAAGAUAGAAGUGAUUUCGAGGGUAUGGUCAUCUUGCCUGAGAUCCCGCUAGGAAGAAGAACGAGUCCAUGAAGAAGACAAACGGAGGAAGUCGAACGAAUCCUCACAACUCCGGAACGAAACCGAAGCUAACGAGAGAAGCAACCCGGAAAGAAACAAACAACAUAGUAAACAACCACCAUAUACACAUGGCAUGAUGCACAAACAAGUAUGAUGCAUGUCCGAUUUAAAGAGCAUGGCAUGGCAAAGUGCAACAAACAACACUACAAAUUAAGUGGAGCUCAAUAUGUAACGAGUUGCAUAUUGACGAAACACCACAUCAAUUAUUUAGUUCUCUCUCGCUUAUGUACCCAACAAUAUUAAAUGUUGAUUAACAUGGCAAGAGGUGAAGCAUAAUUAAACUACCUAUUUAAUCAAGUUAAAUUAGGCCGGAAAUAAUAAACAACAAUUCCGGAAAAUCCCCAUAUCCAUAUUUUGGAUUUGGUACUGUUCUGCCAUAAACGCAAUUUUAAUGUUGUUAAACAGCAAAAUAAAGUGCAGCAAGUUAAUCUAUGCAUUUUUCUACCCCAUUUACAUAUGAAGUUUAUUAAAAUCCGAGUUACGGUUAUUUAGUUAUGAAAUAAAUCAUUUUAACAUGGAAAUCGAGCAAAUUUAAACAAACAGCAUUUUAAAUAUUUUAAACAAGGAUGAAAGUUGCAUACUGUUAAAGAACAUGAAAAUAUGAACAAAAUGCAUAUAUGACAUGUUUCAUUUGAAUGCAUGGACCUUUAGUUAUCAACAAUGCAAAACCAGUGGCAUUUCUGCAAAUAUGCAUGCACUUGGAAUUAGACAAAUCGCAGUGAACAUAAAAAAAGGAUGCGGGCCGAAUGCUGCGCACUGUGGAAGCCCAGCAGCAGAUCUGGCCCGAAGCGGCUGAGUGUCUGUGAGCAAAAAAAAUAAAAGGAAGUAGUGCAGAAAAUAGGGGCUCCUGGGAUUCGAACCACAGACCUCCUAGAUGAAGGAGCGUGGUGCGAACCACUGCGCUACCGCGGCUGCAGUUGAUAGGAAAGGGCGCGGCCCCUUAAGAGAUUGCCUAGGGCGGAGCCUCUCUGUAUAGGCAGAGAAGACAACGGCUGCGAGGACGGAGACGGCGAGCUUAGCCGUGGUGAUGACGGGGCUUCUAGGUGCAGGGGCGUGUGCGUGUGCGGGGUGAGGCCAGCGGAGGGGCGCGCUAGGCGAGAACCGGAGCACGGAGACGCUACUGCAUCUACGCGAGCAACAGAGAACUACAGGCGCCAACCAUGAACGGCGGCCUAGUGGUGAUGAUGCGUGAGGAUAUGCAUGUGAUGUUUGCCGUGUUCUGGAGUUGCACGCGCAGGUGAAAGGACGGGGCAGCCGUGUGCAACUGUGUGUGUGCGCGCUAGGCAGGCUAGGAAAAGGGCGCGGGUGCUCGACUUGGGGCACGACAAGCAGCGGCAACGGCAACAGGGCACGGUGAGCCGGCGGCAAAGCUGCAGAAGAAGGCGCGAGGCCAGUGGGAUGUCUACGGAGCCAACUGGGCCUCGAGAUGCACGGGAUGCAGAGAGCGUGCUGCUGGAUCCUGAGAAAAAUUCAGAAAACACUGGAGCAGCGAGAGCACGACGCGAAACCAAUCCUAGGCACGUCUACGGCGAUCGAUAUGCGGCAGGAGAAGAGAGAGGGGGAGCAGGUAUACCUAGCUCACCCUAGGACACGGAUGCAUCGACGUAGAUGAGCCAUCGGCGACGCGGACGAGCUCUAAACCCAACGGAGUUCCUGUCCGAGGAAGAAGAAAGCAGAGGAAGACGCCAGGCGCGGGACUUGGCGACUCCUUAUGUGACGCAGAUGUAGUAGCGGGCGAAGAGGACGUCGACGGACUUGCCGGACACGAACGGCGAGGAAGAAGAUGAAGGAGUUCACGGCGGCG